rnacentral:rRNA from 1 species
UACAGAGGAGCCAAGCGUUGUCCGGAUUGACUGGGCGUAAAGCGCACGCAGGCGGACGCGCGCGUGGGGUGUGAAAUCUGGCCGCUUAACGGCCAGGCGCCAUCCCAUACGGCGCGUCUGGAGUCAUGCAGAGGUCGGUGGAAUUGCCGGUGUAGUGGUGAAAUGCGUAGAUAUCGAGAGGAACACCUGAGGCGAAGGCGGGUUGCUGGGCUGACACUGACGCUGAGGCGCGAAAGCCAGGGGAGCGAACGGG